UACAGAGGUCCCAAGCGUUGUUCGGAAUCAUUGGGCGUAAAGGGUGCGUAGGCGGCGCGGUAAGUCGGGUGUGAAAUCUCGGAGCUUAACUCCGAAACUGCAUUCGAUACUGCCGUGCUUGAGGACUGGAGAGGAGACUGGAAUUUACGGUGUAGCGGUGAAAAUGCGUAGAUAUCGUAAGGAAGACCAGUGGCGAAGGCGGGUCUCUGGACAGUUCCUGACGCUGAGGCACGAAGGCCAGGGGAGCAAACGGG
rnacentral:rRNA from 1 species